rnacentral:tRNA from 1 species
UGCGGAGUAGCUCAGCCAGGUAGAGCACCGGCCUCAUAAGCCGUCUGUCGCUGGAUCGAAGCCAGCCUCCGCAA